AACGAACGCUGGCGGCAGGCUUAACACAUGCAAGUCGAGCGCCUCGCCAGAGGAGCGGCAGCCGGGUGAGUACCGCGUGGGAACGUACCCUUAUCUUCGGAAUAGCUCUGGGAAACUGGAAGUAAUACCGAAUGUGCCCUUAGGGGGAAAGAUUUAUCGGAUAAGGAUCGGCCCGCGUUGGAUUAGCUAGUUGGUGGGGUAAAGGCCUACCAAGGCGACGAUCCAUAGCUGGUCUGAGAGGAUGAUCAGCCACAUUGGGACUGAGACACGGCCCAAACUCCUACGGGAGGCAGCAGUGGGGAAUAUUGGACAAUGGGCGCAAGCCUGAUCCAGCCAUGCCGCGUGAGUGAUGAAGGCCUUAGGGUUGUAAAGCUCUUUCACCGGAGAAGAUAAUGACGGUAUCCGGAGAAGAAGCCCCGGCUAACUUCGUG
rnacentral:rRNA from 1 species